UAGGGAAUUUUCCACAAUGGACGAGAGUCUGAUGGAGCAAUACCGCGUGAUGGAUGAAGGCUCUAGGGUCGUAAACAUCUUUUAUCUGUGACGAAUAUGACGGUAGCAGAUGAAUAAGGGUCGGCUAACUACGUGCCAGCAGCCGCGGUCAUACGUAGGACCCAAGCGUUAUCCGGAUUUACUGGGCGUAAAGAGUUGCGUAGGUGGCAGAGUAAGUAAAUAGUGAAAUCCUGGGGCUCAACCCCUUCAACAUUAUUUAAACUGCUCAGCUUGAGAAUGAGAGAGGUAGAUGGAAUUGCUAGUGUAGGAGUGAAAUCCGUAGAUAUUAGCAGGAACACCGAUGGCGUAGGCAGUCUACUGGCUCAUUUCUGACACUAAGGCACGAAAGCGUGGGGAGCAAACG
rnacentral:rRNA from 1 species